UUUUGAGGCCACCGAAAGUAAAAGGGCCCGCUUUGGGCCUGGCCAGCGGCAGAGGCCAACUCGGGCCAAUGCUGCCACCUGCCGUGGGCGCGGAGAACAGGGCGCGCCGCCUCGGCCUUCCUGUUUUGUUCGACCCUCUGCACCCAUGCAAGGAAGGUUCUUCGCCAGCCAGACCAGGGCUAUUUUAAAAGACCAGCGCCUAUCCCCAGCCAUUAAGGUAAAGAUAGCCAGUCUGGCUGCUCACUGUCUUCUCAGAAAAAGGACCACUUCCCAGUUAUAGUCCCAGGCCUGCCUAGCAGGACACUCGGACUAGUCGGAGCUCCAUUAAGCACAUAACCCCUAUACUCAAAAGAGAUCGUGUCACUGGUUCACUUAGAGGAAAGCUCGUUUUAGAAAGAAUGUUUUAUUUUGCGGGGGAUGAAGGAAAUGCACAACUCUGGGUUCUGUCGGCACAUUGCUGAACUGCAAGUCACGUGCCAGAUCCAGAAAUGAUGAAAACAUCUGUUUUUGCUUUAGCCCAGCGAGGCCCCGACAGUGGGGAGGGGAGGGACCGGACCGAGAUCGCUUUGCUCACGAGCGCCAUCUGCCGAGCCUGCGCGGGAAAUGCGUGAAUAUCCGGCACAAUGCAGGUUACUCACCCCCAGGAAGGGACAGAUCCACAGGUGGGGGUCUGUACCCGAGAGACCACUAUCUUCAGAGAACAGCCCUGGCUGUGACCCGGGAACUUUGCAACUCUGAAUUGUCUCGAAGAGUACUCAACAAAGAGAUCUGUCCCUGGAGACUGCUCUAGGCAGAGGAAGAGGCCGAGGGAGGCAGCGAAUGAAUUCCCAGGUUGUAAAGGAAAGAGGUCUUUGUUUGGAUGCACAGUGGAGGGGUUAUGAAACUUUUUAUACUGUGUUGUCAUCUCAGAACUCAGAUUUAGGGCGUUUUUUAAUCAGAAAAACAAAGAUCUCUGAAGUGGGUUGCAAUAAUAAGAAAGAAAAAGGAGAAGAGGAAGACGAGGCUGAGGAGCCGCAGCAAUGUGGGUCAAAAAUAAACAUGGGUGACAGUGCUCCCGUCCAUGUGCAGUGUCAUUCCUCCCAAAUAUUUUUUUAGCCAAGACUCUCUUGUCCUCACAUAAAAAUCAUUUGUCCCCCACUUUUCUCUAUCUAUCUUGGUGUAACGAUCUCCACACAGAGACAAAUAACCUUUGUUCAAAGCUCUGUUCUUCUAAGCUGGGCAGAAUUCUGCAAGAUCACUCUGCACACACAAGCUUAACACCUCCCUUGCAGCUCCAAACAAACCAUAAUCCAAAAGCCGCUCUUUUAAAUAGAGGUUUCUUUUAUGCUUAAAUUCCUAAAUAAAAGGAAUGUCGACCGCUACUGCUAGUUUUUC
rnacentral:lncRNA from 1 species